rnacentral:piRNA from 1 species
UUGUGGAAAUGGAUACUUUGCAGAGCCCUU